GCCGGAGUGUCGGAAUGGCAGACGACGCGGACUUAAAAUCCGCUGGGCAGUUUCGCCCGUACGGGUUCGAGUCCCGUCUCCGGCA
rnacentral:tRNA from 1 species